UUGGAUCUGUUGGUGGAGGACAAGGAAGUGUGCCAAAAAGAAAAUGGUCUUUGUUCUUGGAUUCAAGCGCCACAACCAUAUCACGUUCCCAUUGAUGAAAAUUGCUUUCUGUCAGUGGUGGCGAAACAAAACAACGACAAAAUGUUUUCCAGGAUGAAGAAAAUAUGGAUUGGCAAGAUUGACAAGAUGAUCAGAAGUUGAAUGUUGAUCGUUAACCACCAUGACCGAUCAAGAAAAGCAAUAAGAAUAAAAAAUGAAACUAAAUUUCAUAUGAACAUACACGGAAGGAUGAUGAACAAAGAAGGUUUCGUGUGUAAGGAUGAUACCAUGAAAGAAUAUGAAUUGAAUUUGGAGAAAAAAAAAGUUUCCGAAAAAUU
rnacentral:lncRNA from 1 species